rnacentral:ncRNA from 1 species
GAGCGCCGUAUGCGAUGAAAGUCGCACGUACGGUGCUAACGAGGGGGAAAAGAGGGCGAUAACGUCAAACUCUUACCUAUUCGUAU